GUCACCUUGAGCCAAUCUUGGUCCGCCAAAUCAUCCUCUCUGCCUCAAACUGUUCUGCAACUAUCGCUCACUAUGUCCAUUCAAUCCUCCACCAUUCCAAGUCUCCAGACUCCUUCUCAUGGGCUUGCACAAUUCGCUUCUUCACUCAGCAUGGCCAAUUCAAAGGGGCUUUUGCUCUUUUGGUUCAAAUGAAGAGGUGGGGACUGUGUCCCACCACAUUUGCUCUGUCUUCUGCUCUGAAGGCGUGUGAUAGAAUUGUGUACAGAAUGGGCGUGCUUUCCAUUCAUGGUCAGGUUCAGAAAUUUGGGUUUUGUGGUGGUGGUGACGGGAUUUAUAUGGAGACAGCUCUGGUGGAUUUUGACUGCAAACUGGGUGAUAUGGAGAUUUCAAGCAAGAUGUUUGAUGAAACGGCUGGCAUUCGAUGUUAGCAGGGUGUCUGAAGUCUGGGGAUUUAGCGGUGGCUCAGAGGGUGUUUGAUGAGAUUCCGCAGAAAGAUGUUAUUUCGUGGAAUUCCAUGUUUUCGUGAUAUGCCAGAUCAGGGGAUUUGGAGAAGGCGUCAUCCUUGUUUCAACAAAUGCCCGAGAGGAAUUUUGCUUCUUGGAAUGCGAUGAUUAAUGGGUAUGUGGAGUUUGGGGAUCUAGAAUCUGCUAGAAGCUUUUUUUGAUGCAAUGCCGCAGAGAAAUAGUGCUUCUUGGAUGACCAUGAUUUCUGGGUACUCGAAAUGUGGGGAUGUUGAUUCUGCGUGUGAACUAUUUGAUCAGGUCGGUGGGAAGGAUCUGCUCUUGUUUAAUGCCGUAAUAGCUUGCUAUGCUCAAAAUAGCAAACUGAAGGAGGCUCUUAAGCUAUUUAACAUGAUGCUCCAUCCAAAUGUAAAUGUUCAGCCAGAUGAGAUGACUUUGGCUAGUGUUAUAUCUCCAUGUUCUCAAUUUGGAGACUUCAGAUUUGGGCCCUGGAUUGAGUCAUAUAUGAGAAGACUUGGAAUUGAAAUGGAUGGUCGUUUGGCCACUGCUUUACUUGACUUGUAUGCUUAGUGUGGAAGCAUUGACAAGGCAUAUGAAUUGUUCCAUGGUUUGAGGAAGAAGGAUUUGGUCGCUUAUACUGCAAUGAUCUUGGGGUGUGGCAUAAAUGGUAAAGCUAUUGAUGCAAUCAAGUUGUUUGAUAAGAUGGUAGAUGCCCAGAUUUGCCCAAAUUUAAUUAUGUUCACAGGGCUAUUAACCACCUAUAACCAUUCUGGUUUGGUUGAAGAAGGCUACCAUUGCUUUACCACCAUGAAGAAGUAUAAUCUUGUGCCUUUGGUUGAUCAUUAUGGAAUCAUGGUUGAUCUUUUUGGCAGGGCAGGAUGGCUACAAGAAGCACUUGAGCUAAUAAAGAAUAUGCCUAUGCAGCCUCAUGCUGGGGUUUGGGGAGCUUUGCUUUUUGCUUGCAGGUUGCAUAACAAUGCUGAUCUUGGGGAGAUUGCAACUCAGCAUUUCUUUGAAUUGGAGCCUGAUACAACUGGUUAUUGUUUUCUUCCUUGCAAUAUUUAUGUCUCUGGUGAGAGGUUGGAUGAUGUCAAGAGAUUGAGAAAGAUCAGAAAGGAGAAGACAUUUUCCAAAUACCUGGUUGCAGUUGGAUGGAAUUCUCUUGACUCCCUUCUAAUAAGAAAUAUGCACUCACAAAACAGUGUGUCUGCUCCAUUUUGGGUUCAAUAACACUUCAAUGACUUCAUACUUCUGGUUUUCAGAGAACUAUGUUCUCAUAUCCUACCUUUUGUAGUUUCAUAAACUUGGAAUUCUACAUGACCUGGGUAGUUGGGUUAGAGUCAGAUGUAGCUCCAUUGUAAUGGAAUGGAAGCUAAACCUCUGGGAAGAAAUGGAAAUCUGCAAAUUUUCUGAUACUGAGGAAGGGAUUUUCCUCUCAUCCAUUGUAAGAUUGCUGAAUACAAGGGUUGCCAUCAUAUACCAGUUAAAGAACAUAAUUGGUAAAGGAGAUUUUCAGCAAUGAUAUAUGACGUACUUACUGCAAGGUAAUGAAUCCUGGUACUAGAUUGGAAUCCUCUGAAACCUCCACAUCACACUCCUUGCAGGCAUUUCAGUUUUAGUCCAUGUCCAAGCUGAUAAGACAGAAAGAGACUUUGCUAAGUUCCUUGGAAGCUAUUAUCUUAAACAUCUUGCAGAGCCCAAAACCCUGAGCUUUGGCAGAGUAGGAUUGUUCAAUUAUGGAAUGUCCUUGGAUAUGACAAAUGGGGAAGGGGAAGGUCAUGCUCCCGCUUUGAGUCAUGUGUUCAAUGUGCAUUAAAUGUCUCCUACAUCAAUAGUGAUGAUCAACUCAAAGAUGCUCUUGCAAAACCAUGAUCAUGUACGAGAUUUGAGCUACUUUGUUCCAAGAUUGGAGUCUAUGGUUUUGCAUGCAAAUCUUUUGAGUCAAUAACUCUAACCCGUUUCUCUCAGUAAUUCACUAUUUGAUCAUAAACAUGAACACAUGAUAUAUCUUCAAAAAUUGAUUUUUAACAUUUAAAUGUGUGAAGCAAUGUAGGCCAAGAAGAUAUUUGGCCACUUUGUUGAAAGCAUCAUUCACAAAUUUGAAGUCAAUCUUCAAUUUUCAAUUUUUCUGAAAUCACCAUGGAUGCAUUUCUUUAUCUAUUUUGCUCUGUAAGAAGACAACCAUUGGUAAAAAAUGUAUUCAUUUUAGAGGUUCUUCUUUCUCCCAUUCUCUUAUGAAGUUUUUCACUGUCAACUCUUAUGACAAAUUUUGAUCAAAAUCAAAUGCUGCAGUCAUCAAAUUGAGCUGAUCUUCAAUGAACAAUGACUGAUUUAUGUACAAAAGUAUAGGCUAUAUUUGUGCAUUGAAGGUGUUCUAUGGAAUUCCCCAAAAAACCACUCUUUGUCAAAAUGCCCAUUCAUGGGAUUACGUCCACAACAUGUUAACCUUGGAUCAUGAUUGCUUUACCUCAUCCCUGGCCUUCUGGGGCAUGCCAUCUGCAGGCAAACCCCACUUAUAACUCCCGAUUUGUUUCAUUCAAUAUUGUUUAUGGGUAUUUGUUUCAUAAUUUUCAUCAAGAACAUUAUAUACAGACUAUGGAUUGGCAUAUUUUGCAAGCAUUAACAUUUCCAGGAGUUGCUAUUCACCAGAGGGAUCUUGUAAUAAAAAAUUUUCUUUGUAUAUUUUACAUCUUAGUUGCACAAGAUGCAGCUUGCUAGGAAUGCACUGUUAGGCGCUCUUCAUCUGGUUGAUUGUACUUAAGAUAGAAUUUGCUGUCAAUUAUUCUCUUCCUGCUUCAUGACACAAUUCUUAUAUAUUUUCAAAUGAACUCUAAUCUUAGAUAAAUUGCAUGAAACGCUAUCUAAUGUACAUAUUAACAAUGCCUUUGUAAGAAUAGUAUGAUGUUGGCAAAACUCAAACUUCCAAAGAAAACUGAAGCAUCAAUCAAGAUUAUACAAUAUGUGUCCUUUCUGCUCAUCAAGGCUGCAUUUUCAGCUUUGUAAUCAAUAUGGUGUCAUGGUUUCCUUUUCAGAACAGGCUGCAAGCUUAUGUCCUUGCUGGAUUAUGAAGUUGCUUUGAUGGGGUUUUGAGGUUGAACUUGCUCAAGUAAUUUUCAUAAACAUGUAUGAAGGAGGACAAUAGUACCUUAAAGGAGAGUAUAUUCACAAGUACAUUAGAGGUUUUGCUUUUAGUUUUUUCUAUCAAUCCUUCAUGGUAUUAACCUCAACUAUGGAUACUAAUUAUUUUGCACCAGAAUCUUGUGUAACCAUCUGCAUAUGGCCUAUUAUAAUUUUUGUUCCUAUUAGAGAAUGGUGUUUGUGGCAAAUGAUUAGGAUGUUUUAAUCAGUUUUUGUCUGUUUUUUUUUUCAAUCCUUGUUUGAAGCUAAAGGGCAUUUGGCAUUUUGAUAAAUUGAACUCAUUUUUUCCUAUGUAGGGAGUACAACAUGUUAGGCUCCAUGAUUGUAUUGAAUUUGUAAUAAACUCUGUUUGAACUGAGAAAAUCUCUCAAACAUUGACCGAAAAAGCAAACUAAGAUGAAUAAUUAGCCAGGGAUUAUACAAGAAUGGGUCUGAUUUCUCUUAUCCUUUAGUUUGGUUCUCUGAAAUGCCUUAUGAAGGAGAACCCAAUUGACUAGGUUUUUACGAAUUCUGGAUGUUCCCAAAACUGCAUUGCAAUAGAAGGGUAAAACAAAGCUUCAGCAAUUUCAGAAACAGUUCAUUUGAGUAAAUAUGAGGUAAAUUCAUGACAAUGAGCUGAAAGCAGAGUUAUUUUGGAUUACAAGCAAGAUGGACUAUGAAUUGGCAUAUGCUUGUUAGUGGUUGAGCUGUAUAAACUGAAAUGAUAUUUUGUCUCACACCCUUCUGGCAGCUGGUUCCACUGGCACCCCCUGCUUACCUACCUGAGAAAGAAAGAUGGAAAUUUUACCUUCUAGAUGGUAUUUGGUAAGCAAAAACUGUUGUUUUGUUUCUUAACAACAUAACAGGGACACUAUUUGAUAAAGAUAAAUUUCAGAUAGGCUAAAGUUGGCAUUUUCUCAUGACAUUACAUCACUAAUUUCUUGGUCUCUUAUCUUAUUCAUCUGUAUGUGUUUGUGCACCAUUUCUUGAACUCUAUGGUCUUUUGGUGGUGAACUAGAGUGUUGUUGCAGAUGAUUUUAAAUGGUUAUUCUGAGCUAUAAAUGCCAUUCUUUCCACUGUUCUGCAGGGAUGAUCAGAUCAUUUUCCAUGGACAUUGUUGAGUAUCCAGUGAGGCCAACUUUUGGGUAAGUUUCUCAGUAUAUUCCUCAGCAAUCAAUUGAAUACUUUAAUGAGCUCUAGUCCCUCUUUCAGCUUGAAGUUUUGGUGGUUGUGAGCUUAAUGGCCCCAGACAUUGUGGGCCAAAACAAGCCCUCUUUGUUGAAAAGAUUUGAAAUACUUUAAAUGCAAAAAAAAGGACCUAAGAUCUCCUAUAAAAUUGAAUGAACCUGUCCCCAUCUCAGGUUCACCUUUCCAUUUCAACUUCUGCUAGGCAACCGACAACACAGUUUGCUAUAUAGUCUCUGCAAACUUCAUUCUUAUAGUAAAUUUUGCAGAUGAAAUAGUACUAUGCCCAACAAGUAGUAGGUGAUCCUCACCCAAACUCACUUUGUAUAGGAAAAUGUCAAAAAAUGUACUAAAAACCAUGGCUGAACAGAUGCUAUAUAUAGUAUAAGUUACCCAUCUCUACUCUUGCUA